rnacentral:rRNA from 1 species
GGGAUUGCCCUAGUAACGGCGAGUGAAGCGGCAACAGCUCAAAUUUGAAAUCUGGCCCCCUAGGGGGUCCGAGUUGUAAUUUGCAGAGGGUGCUUUGGCGUUGGCAGCGGUCUAAGUUCCUUGGAACAGGACGUCACAGAGGGUGAGAAUCCCGUACGUGGUCGCCAGCCUCCGCCGUGUAAAGCCCCUUCGACGAGUCGAGUUGUUUGGGAAUGCAGCUCUAAAUGGGAGGUAAAUUUCUUCUAAAGCUAAAUACUGGCCAGAGACCGAUAGCGCACAAGUAGAGUGAUCGAAAGAUGAAAAGCACUUUGGAAAGAGAGUCAAAAAGCACGUGAAAUUGUUGAAAGGGAAGCGCUUGCAGCCAGACUUGCCUGUAGUUGCUCAGCCGGGCUCCGGCCCGGUGCACUCUUCUGCGGGCAGGCCAGCAUCAGUUCGGGCGGCCGGAUAAAGACCUCUGUCACGUACCUCCCUCCGGGGAGGACUUAUAGGGGAGGUGAAAUGCGGCCAGUCCGGACUGAGGUCCGCGCAUCUGCUAGGAUGCUGGCGUAAUGGCUGUAAGCGGCCCGUCUUGAAACACGGACCAAGGAGUCUAACAUCUAUGCGAGUGUUUGGGUGUCAAGCCCGAGCGCGUAAUGAAAGUGAACGGAGGUGGGAACCCCUCGGGGUGCACCAUCGACCGAUCCUGAUGUCUUCGGAUGGAUUUGAGUAAGAGCAUAGCUGUUGGGACCCGAAAGAUGGUGAACUAUGCUUGAAUAGGGUGAAGCCAGAGGAAACUCUGGUGGAGGCUCGCAGCGGUUCUGACGUGCAAAUCGAUCGUCAAAUUUGGGCAUAGGGGCGAAAGACUAAUCGAA